UGCUAAGGCCGAUGGCGACCGGCGCACGGGUGAGUAACACGUAUCCAACCUGCCGUCUACUCUUGGACAGCCUUCUGAAAGGAAGAUUAAUACAAGAUGGCAUCAUGAGUCCACAUGUUCACAUGAUUAAAGGUAUUCCGGUAGACGAUGGGGAUGCGUUCCAUUAGAUAGUAGGCGGGGUAACGGCCCACCUAGUCUUCGAUGGAUAGGGGUUCUGAGAGGAAGGUCCCCCACAUUGGAACUGAGACACGGUCCAAACUCCUACGGGAGGCAGCAGUGAGGAAUAUUGGUCAAUGGGCGAGAGCCUGAACCAGCCAAGUAGCGUGAAGGAUGACUGCCCUAUGGGUUGUAAACUUCUUUUAUAAAGGAAUAAAGUUGGGUAUGCAUACCCGUUUGCAUGUACUUUAUGAAUAAGGAUCGGCUAACUCCGUGCCAGCAGCCGCGGUAAUACGGAGGAUCCGAGCGUUAUCCGGAUUUAUUGGGUUUAAAGGGAGCGUAGAUGGAUGUUUAAGUCAGUUGUGAAAGUUUGCGGCUCAACCGUAAAAUUGCAGUUGAUACUGGAUAUCUUGAGUGCAGUUGAGGCAGGCGGAAUUCGUGGUGUAGCGGUGAAAUGCUUAGAUAUCACGAAGAACUCCGAUUGCGAAGGCAGCCUGCUAAGCUGCAACUGACAUUGAGGCUCGAAAGUGUGGGUAUCAAACAGGAUUAGAUACCCUGGUAGUCCACACGGUAAACGAUGAAUACUCGCUGUUUGCGAUAUACA
rnacentral:rRNA from 1 species